UUUCACUGGGAGAGAGAGGCAGAGACACAGACAGAGGGAGUAGCAGGGAGCCCGAUGUGGGACUCGAUCCCGGGACUCCGGAUCACGACCUGAGCUGAAGGCAGACGCUCAACCGAUGAGCCCCACAUCACAGUUUUAAACUUAUUAUAUCUCCAAAGACCUAUUAUCAGAGCACAGACUCUAACCAGGUGCUGAGAAGUCACAAGCUUCUGUGGCAAGAAGAAAGCUUUGGGACAAGAGUCAAUGGAGGCGUGCACCCUGGCAGCCAGAUAAGGAGCAAUUCUGGGAGGCCUGCCUGAAGUUAGAAGAACCCAUGCAGAGUUGGUCCUUACAGUGGUUACUGAUGCAGAAAAAGUGGCCAAAACUGGAGACAGUAAUUGUUUAUCAGAUUAUUAACUUCACAUGGCCAUGAAAAGUCUACAAAAUGAGCAAGAGAAUCCAUAAGAACAAAGCUGGAGGACUCACAACACCAUAUAAUGAGAAAAGAGAGGCUCCCAAAAUGUGACUUUCUCAGUAUCAAAAAAUAGGUUGAAAAAAUGCAUAUUACGUGACACCACAGACAGGAUCUAGUGGAACUUGAAGAAGCACAGAGACAGGAGUCCCACCGAGAAGAGGAUCUCAUGGCAGAGAGGGACCUCAGGAAUGUUCUUGGAUCGGGCUUUAUUUUCACCAAUAAUCUGAAGCUGAUGGAUCAGAACAUCGUUCCUCCUUGAAUUUAGUGUUUAAAAGUCUCUACUCUUGGGAAGUCUCGAGCCCCAGGUCCCACCCAGGUGUGCUUACUCAUUCCCUGGAUUUCGCCCAACGUCUUGGCUUGCGGGUCAUGGAGAAUCGGGAAGCCCAGCACAGCCUCCACCAACCAGAGCCGCCCUACCUGUUACAGGGAGGCGACAAGAGAAUAAAGUAGAAGACAUUCCAUCAACGAUAAAAGGAUCUUCACUGGGUGUUCAUGAAAAAGAUUGGAGGGCAGAACAAGAAAUCAGAAAGAGCCACCCUCAGUCGUAUCAAAGCCUGUGGGAAGUAAUCAACUGGCAUUGAUGACAAACAAGAAACACUGUCCAUUGUUGCCUGGCUUACCUCUCAGAUGAAGGAAAAGCUUUAAGCCACUGUGGGAUGAACAACAAACCCUUUUCCCCCACCAGAACAACCAUGGGCGAAAGAGAAACAAAAAGACUUAGGAAAUGCUUUUAUCCUGCCUUCAGGACACAAGCAAAGAUCCAGUGUAGAAGACAAGGGUCUUGUGUCUCUAGUAGUAGGGUAGGAAAACGUGUACUAAGAAUGCUACAUGAAAGCAAAACUGAGAACUUCUAUGGCUACGUGCAGGGCAAGAAAUCCUUUAUUGCCUAAGAUCUGCCAGAGAGAGAAUGUAGAGUUUAGAUGCCAUGUGAUGGGUUUAGGGGGAGAAAUGUUGAAAUGGCAUCAACCCUGAGGCCUACAUGUGGAAUUUAUAACAUGGAAGGAAAUAUAUACAAUAACACAAGGGAUGGGGCUAAAUAAAUGAGAGUUUA